ACAUGCAAGUCGAGCGAACAGAUAAGGAGCUUGCUCCUUUGACGUUAGCGGCGGACGGGUGAGUAACACGUGGAUAACCUACCUAUAAGACUGGGAUAACUUCGGGAAACCGGAGCUAAUACCGGAUAACAUAUUGAACCGCAUGGUUCAAUAGUGAAAGGCGGCUUUGCUGUCACUUAUAGAUGGAUCCGCGCCGUAUUAGCUAGUUGGUAAGGUAACGGCUUACCAAGGCAACGAUACGUAGCCGACCUGAGAGGGUGAUCGGCCACACUGGAACUGAGACACGGUCCAGACUCCUACGGGAGGCAGCAGUAGGGAAUCUUCCGCAAUGGGCGAAAGCCUGACGGAGCAACGCCGCGUGAGUGAUGAAGGUCUUCGGAUCGUAAAACUCUGUUAUCAGGGAAGAACAAAUGUGUAAGUAACUGUGCACAUCUUGACGGUACCUGAUCAGAAAGCCACGGCUAACUACGUGCCAGCAGCCGCGGUAAUACGUAGGUGGCAAGCGUUAUCCGGAAUUAUUGGGCGUAAAGCGCGCGUAGGCGGUUUUUUAAGUCUGAUGUGAAAGCCCACGGCUCAACCGUGGAGGGUCAUUGGAAACUGGAAAACUUGAGUGCAGAAGAGGAAAGUGGAAUUCCAUGUGUAGCGGUGAAAUGCGCAGAGAUAUGGAGGAACACCAGUGGCGAAGGCGACUUUCUGGUCUGUAACUGACGCUGAUGUGCGAAAGCGUGGGGAUCAAACAGGAUUAGAUACCCUGGUAGUCCACGCCGUAAACGAUGAGUGCUAAGUGUUAGGGGG
rnacentral:rRNA from 1 species